rnacentral:rRNA from 1 species
UGGGGAAUUUUGGACAAUGGGCGCAAGCCUGAUCCAGCCAUGCCGCGUGCAGGAUGAAGGCCUUCGGAUCGUAAACCCCUGUCGAAUGGGACGAAAGACUCGCGAGUGAAUACUUCGCGAGAGUGACGGUACCGUUAAAGGAAGCCACGGCUAACUCUGUGCCAGCAGCCGCGGUAAUACAGAGGUGGCAAGCGUUGUUCGGAAUUACUGGGCGUAAAGGGCGCGUAGGCGGCCCUCUAAGUCAGACGUGAAAUCCCCCGGCUUAACCUGGGAACUGCGUCUGAUACUGGAGGGCUUGAGUAUGGGAGAGGGAUGUAGAAUUCCAGGUGUAGCGGUGAAAUGCGUAGAUAUCUGGAAGAACACCAGUGGCGAAGGCGGCCAACUGGCUCGAUACUGACGCUGAGGUGCGAAAGCGUGGGGAGCAAACAGGAUUAGAUACCCACGUAGUCCCUGAGCGGGCUGGCAAGGCGCAU